CUGGGUCAUGAAUCUCACACAUGACGUCAGCUCAUCAUCAAACUAAUUAAACAUAAGACUUAUAAAAAUACGUCAUCAUAAAGAUGCCAUCCACAGAAGGGAAACCGGAAGGGGCGGGGCUUCUCUCACCUAUAUUUAUGUCAGUUUCAGAUCUGAGACCAGAGUCAGAGUUUCUCUUGUGCAGGUUCAACAUGGCCGCUACACAAACGUCCGAGAGCCGUGAGCCGUUAACUCGGCCCGGCCGCGGUGCUCCGUCCUCGGGUCGAACUCUGAUGAUCGGAGUCCGUACUUACAAAGAACCCACAGGCCCGUGAGGUCCAGCGGCACCGCUCAGUGAACUGCAUCAUCUCAUCAGCACGGCACCAGAACCAGCAUGGAGCCAACUGGGUCAGAAGAGGUUCUGAACAAGAUGAACGUCACAAUAAAUCAUAUUGACAACUGCAGUUCUGUGAGAGGAGAGCUGGUUCUGGUUCAGUUCUGUGAGAGGAGAGCUGGUUCUGGUUCAGUUCUGUGAGAGGAGAGCUGGUUCUGGUUCAGUUCUGUGAGCAGCUCUACGAUGUUAAAGUCAGGAGACGACGUCACUGACCUCCAUCAGUCAGUUUACUGGACUUGGACGUGAACGUUGCAGUAAAAUAUUUCAGA